rnacentral:miRNA from 1 species
UAUUAAGUUGGUGCAAAAGUAAUUGCGGUUUUUGCCAUUAUUUUUAGUGGUAAAACCGCAAUUACUUUUGCACCAAUCUAAUAC